rnacentral:rRNA from 1 species
UACAGAGGUCCCAAGCGUUGUUCGGAUUCAUUGGGCGUAAAGGGUGCGUAGGCGGCGCGGUAAGUCAGGUGUGAAAUCUCGGGGCUCAACCCCGAAACUGCACUGGAUACUGCCCUGCUCGAGUACUGGAGAGGAGAUUGGAAUUUACGGUGUAGCAGUGAAAUGCGUAGAUAUCGUAAGGAAGACCAGUGGCGAAGGCGAAUCUCUGGACAGUUACUGACACUGAGGCACGAAGGCCAGGGGAGCAAACGGG